UACGUAGGGUGCGAGCGUUGUCCGGAAUUAUUGGGCGUAAAGGGCUCGUAGGCGGUCUGUCGCGUCGGGAGUGAAAACUCAGGGCUUAACCCUGAGCCUGCUUCCGAUACGGGCAGACUAGAGGUAUGCAGGGGAGAACGGAAUUCCUGGGUGUAGCGGUGGAAUGCGGCAGAUAUCAGGAGGAACACCGGUGGCGAAGGCGGCUCACUGGCCCGGUACUGACGCUGAGGCGCGAAAGCGUGGGGAGCAAACAGG
rnacentral:rRNA from 1 species